rnacentral:rRNA from 1 species
CCGAUGGCGACCGGCGCACGGGUGAGUAACACGUAUCCAACCUGCCGAUGACUCGGGGAUAGCCUUUCGAAAGAAAGAUUAAUACCCGAUGGCAUAGUUCUUCCGCAUGGUAGAACUAUUAAAGAAUUUCGGUCAUCGAUGGGGAUGCGUUCCAUUAGGUUGUUGGCGGGGUAACGGCCCACCAAGCCUUCGAUGGAUAGGGGUUCUGAGAGGAAGGUCCCCCACAUUGGAACUGAGACACGGUCCAA